rnacentral:rRNA from 1 species
UACGAGGGGGGCAAAUGUUGUUCGGAAUCACUGGGCGUAAAGGGAGCGUAGGCGGGUUCUUAAGUUAGGUGUUUAAUCCCGGGGCCCAACCCCGGACCGGCACUUAAAACUGGGAAUCUUGAAUAGUGGAGAGGUCAGUGGAAUUGGGGGUGUAGCGGUGGAAUGCGUAGAGAUCCCCAAGAACACCAGUGGCGCAAGCGGCUAUCUGGACCGACAUCGACGCUGAGGCACGAAAGCGUGGGGAUCAAACAGG